ACGUUUCACAUAUAUGUAUUAUUUACAAGUAUGUUGCAAGUGAUCGAAUCGCAAAGUGGAGGGAGUCCCCGUCGAGGCGUUUGAAAUUGCCAGGAGAUUCGAAAGCUGGAACAAGAUACGUCUGUUGUUCGCGAAGGGAAUUUCGUUCGACUUCUGUGCCACUUUGCGAUGCGUUAAUCUUUCACAACGGACAACGACAAAUUUUCGCAGACAAUGGGAAAGAGACGAAUACUGACAAGGGGAUCGAUGGGAAUCGUCGGUAGGGGGACGUGACAUCCAUGGUGCUCUAAAGAAAAGACAAUUUUCUAAGGCAGGAUUCAGGAGGCACCCCCGCACGAAGUCUGGCAACGUAUGAUCAGAGCUGAAAAAGAGAGGAUACAGCAACGUCCAAAGAAGAGCGAGGAAGAGCGAACAGCCGAGUCGUUGAAAAACGUGUGCCAGUUAAGUUGGACCGACUCCACUGGCUGCGUUCUUAAUAGAGGAAAGUUAAGAGAAAUUGUGUGGCAAUGAUUGUCGAGUAACGCGGAAAAACUUCUUCGGGGUUCGCUAAAUGCCACAACGGGUUACGCUUCGGAAUGGCCACCUACAUAAGACCCGAAGAUUUACCGGCUGCGAAAACUAUCUCGAACUGAUCUUCCCGGUGAAGCAGAGACUCGCAAACAAAUAUAAAUAGAGCGACAC